AUGGCCUGGGAAAGCAGUGGAAGAUGGCCCAAGUACUUGGACCCCUGCACACGCAUGGGAGACCCAGAAGAAGCUCCUAGCUCCUGGCUUCAGAUCGGCACAGCUCCGGCCAUUGCAGCCAACUGGGAAGUGAACCAGUGGACGGAAGACCUCUCUUUUUUUCUUCUCCAUGAAUUUGGAAACAUGAACACCUGCCAAAAGAAAUUAGAUGUGGCCAUGCGGAAACUGGAAGGCAGCAGCAAGGUGGAAAAGGAAUGAGUUGUGUAUGUAUUAUAACUGAGAAUCUGAAAUAUAAAAAAAACAUGGAUUUGUCUAUUGUUUAACUGCUCUUUGGUGAAAUUUCUUCUGGGUGAUAUUUUAUUGGCUAGACUGUUGAUUUGUGGAAAGUAAAUCAUUCAUUAAAUGGGUGUUCUUGUAGUAGAGACACAUGACUUUACUAGUAUCUUAGUCCACUUAGGUGCAUAUAGUAAGCAACUCUAAGCUGGAUGGUUUCCAAACAACAGAAAAUUUUCCCUACAGUUCCAGAGGCUGGGCAGUCCAGGAUCAAGAUGCUGGCAGAUUUGCUGUUGGCUGAGGGCCUGUUUCUUUGUUCAGAGAUAGGACCUUUAUGCUGUGUUGUACCAUGGCCGAAGGGAUGAACACUGGUCUCUUCAGCCUUUUUGAGUACACAAAUCCAAUCAAUACACACAUCCUCUUGCUCAUGAAUUAAUCACCUCCCAAAGGCCUCAGCUCCUUAUACUACCACAGUGGAGAACAGAUUUCAGCCUGUGAAUUUUGGGGCCACACAAAAAAUUCAGCACAUAAUAAUGAGUAUAACCACUUGGUUAUAAACCCAGGACUGCUUUCAUUUUUCCUUUUGAAAAUGGGAGAGAUGAGUAAGAAUCUUAUAUUUAUUUCUCAUAUGAAGCUAAGUAAAGUGCAUUAGCUGUAAUAUAUUUUAGGAAUGAAGGUACAAUAGAGUAGAGCCUGCUAAGCUCAUAGCUAUGUGUCAGAUGGCUCAAGUUCAAGUCCCAAUUUCCCACUUCCUUUAGCAAGUUACUUGUCCUUUUAAGCUUCUUUAAUUUCAUUUUGAAAAUAAAAUUUAAGUUAACAGCUCCA
rnacentral:lncRNA from 1 species